rnacentral:rRNA from 1 species
CUGACUGCUAUCGGAUUGAUACUAAGCCAUGCGAGUCAUUGUAGCAGUACAAGGCAGACGGCUCAGUAACGCGUAGUCAACCUAACCUAUGGACGGGAAUAACCUCGGGAAACUGAGAAUAAUGCCCGAUAGAACACUAUGCCUGGAAUGGUUUGUGUUCCAAAUGAUUUAUCGCCGUAGGAUGGGACUGCGGCCUAUCAGUUUGUUGGUGAGGUAAUGGCCCACCAAGACUAUUACAGGUACGGGCUCUGAGAGGAGUAGCCCGGAGAUGGGUACUGAGACACGGACCCAGGCCCUAUGGGGCGCAGCAGGCGAGAAAACUUUGCAAUGUGCGAAAGCACGACAAGGUUAAUCCGAGUGGUUUGUGCUAAACAGACCUUUUGUUAGUCCUAGAAACACUAACGAAUAAGGGGUGGGCAAGUUCUGGUGUCAGCCGCCGCGGUAAAACCAGCACCUCAAGUGGUCAGGAUGAUUAUUGGGCCUAAAGCAUCCGUAGCCGGCUCUGUAAGUUUUCGGUUAAAUCUGUAUGCUCAACAUACAGGCUGCCGGGAAUACUGCAGAGCUAGGGAGUGGGAGAGGUAGACGGUACUCGGUAGGAAGGGGUAAAAUCCUUUGAUCUAUUGAUGACCACCUGUGGCGAAGGCGGUCUACCAGAACACGUCCGACGGUGAGGGAUGAAAGCUGGGGGAGCAAACCGGAUUAGAUACCCGGGUAGUCCCAGCUGUAAACUAUGCAAACUCAGUGAUGCAUUGGCUUGUGGCCAAUGCAGUGCUGCAGGGAAGCCGUUAAGUUUGCCGCCUGGGAAGUACGUACGCAAGUAUGAAACUUAAAGGAAUUGGCGGGGGAGCACCACAAGGGGUGAAGCCUGCGGUUCAAUUGGAGUCAACGCCGGG